AAAGACUGCGGAGAAAAUGCCGGAGUGGGACAGUGAACCGUUCUCCAACCCUUUGGCUCCAGAUGGCCAUGAUGUGGAUGCUCCUGUCCAAUCAAAACUCACCAAUGAAGAUUUCAGGAAACUUUUCAUGACCCCAAGGGCUGCACCUACCUCUGCACUACCUUCUAAGUCAUGUCACCAUGAGAUGUCAAGAGAGUACAAUGAGGAUGAAGAUCUAGCUGCCCGAAGGAGAAAAAAGAGAAGUUAUUAUGCUAAGUUACGCCAACAAGAAAUUGAGAGAGCGAGCGAGCUAGCAGAGAAGUACCGGGACCGUGCCAAGGAACGAAGAGAUGGUGUGAAGAAAGAUUAUGAGGAAACCAAGCCGAUUAGCACCGCAGCCAACUAUAGGGUUGUGGGCCCCACAGCAGAGGUGGACAAAUCAGCUGCAGAGAAAAGACAGUUGAUCCAGGAGUCCAAAUUUUUGGGUGGUGACAUGGAGCACACCCACUUGGUCAAAGGCUUGGAUUUUGCUCUUCUUCAAAAGGUACGAGCUGAGAUUGCCAGCAAAGAGGAAGAGGAAUUGAUGGAGAAACCUCAAAAGGAAACCAAGAAAGAUCAGGAUCCUGAGAACAAAAUUGAAUUUAAAACUCGUCUUGGCCGCAAUGUGUAUCAUACGCUUUUUAAGAGCAAAGCCGAUGAGCGGAAUGAGCUGUUCUUGCCAGGCCGCAUGGCCUAUGUGGUGGACCUGGACGAUGAGUAUGGGGAUACAGAUAUUCCCACCACACUUAUCCGUAGCAAGGCUGAUUGCCCAACCAUGGAGGCCCAGACCACGCUGACAACAAAUGACAUUGUCAUCAGCAAACUCACUCAGAUCCUUUCAUACCUGAGGCUGGGUACCCGCAACAAGAAGCUCAAGAAGGAUAAAGGGAAGAUGGAAGAGAAGAAGCCUCCUGAGGCUGACAUGAACAUUUUUGACGGCAUUGGGGACUAUGCGUUCUCCACAACCAAGACACCUCGGGACAAGAAUCAAGAGAGAUACGGCAAACGGGAGUGAGACAGAGACCUGGACCAGGAUUGGGAGAGAGAACGAGAUCAAGAGAGGGAGCAAGGAAAGAAGAGGCACAGCUAUUUUGAGAAGCCAAAAGCGGAUGUUGAGCCCAUGGAAGUUGACAAAGGACCUGGGUCUGCCAAAGACUUGAUCAAGGCUAUCAAUGAAAAGUUUGCAGGGUCUGCCAGUUGGGAAGGCAUUGAGUCAUUGAAGAAGCCAGAAGACAAAAAGCAGCUGGGUGAUUUCUUUGGCAUGUCUAACAGUUAUGCAGAGUGCUAUCCUGCCACAGUGGAUGACGUGGCCGUGGAUAGUGACGAGGAGGUGGAUUAUAGCAAAAUGGACCGGGGUAACAAGAAGGGCCCCUUAGGCCACUGGGACUUUGAUACCCAGGAGGAAUACAGCGCGUAUAUUAGCAAUAAGGAAGCUUUGCCCAAGGCUGCAUUCCAGUAUGGUAUCAAGAUGUCUGAAGGACGGAAAACCAGGCGACUUAAAGAAACCAAUGGCAAAGCAGAGCUUGAUUGGCAGCGGAAGAAGAUCAGUGUAAUUAUUGAGAAGAGGAAGAAGAUGGAGGCUGAAGGGGUUCAAGUGAAAAGACCAAAAUACUAA